rnacentral:rRNA from 1 species
AAUGAACGCUGGCGGCGUGCUUAACACAUGCAAGUCGCACGAGAACGCUUCAGCUUGCUGAAGCUAGUAAAGUGGCGUACGGGUGAGUAACGCGUGGGUAAUCUAUCUCUGAAUUGGGGAUAACAUUGCGAAAGCGAUGCUAAUACCGGAUAAUAUCCAAUAAACCUCGGUUUUUUGGAUCAAAGGUGGCCUCUACAUGUAAGCUACUGUUUGGAGACGAGCCCGCGUACCAUUAGCUUGUUGGUAGGGUAAUGGCCUACCAAGGCAACGAUGGUUAGCUGGUCUGAGAGGAUGAUCAGCCACACUGGAACUGACACACGGUCCAGACUCCUACGGGAGGCAGUAGUGAGGAAUUUUGCGCAAUGGGGGAAACCCUGACGCAGCAACGCCGCGUGAGUGAUGAAGGCUUUCGGGUCGUAUAGCUCUGUCCAGUGGGAAGAACCCGUGCCGUACAAAUAGUGCGGUGCGCUGACGGUACCACUGAAGGAAGCACCGGCUAACUCCGUGCCAGCAGCCGCGGUAA